GAUGAAGAACGUAGCGAAAUGCGAUAAGUAAUGUGAAUUGCAGAAUUCAGUGAAUCAUCGAAUCUUUGAACGCACAUUGCGCCCAUUAGUAUUCUAGUGGGCAUGCCUGUUCGAGCGUCAUUUCAACCCUUAAGCCUAGCUUAGUAUUGGGAAUCGACUUUACUGUCGUUCCUCAAAUUCAACGGCGGAUUUAUAGCAAUCUCUGAACGUAGUAAUUUUUUUCCUCGUUUUUGAAAUACUAUAAACCUCAGCCGCUAAACCCCCAAUUUUUCUAUGGUUGACCUCGGAUCAGGUAGGAAUACCCGCUGAACUUAAGCAUAUCAAUAAGCGGAGG
rnacentral:misc_RNA from 1 species